AUUGAACGCUGGCGGCAUGCCUUACACAUGCAAGUCGAACGGUAACAGGUCUUCGGAUGCUGACGAGUGGCGAACGGGUGAGUAAUACAUCGGAACGUGCCCGAUCGUGGGGGAUAACGAGGCGAAAGCUUUGCUAAUACCGCAUACGAUCUACGGAUGAAAGCGGGGGAUCUUCGGACCUCGCGCGGACGGAGCGGCCGAUGGCAGAUUAGGUAGUUGGUGGGAUAAAAGCUUACCAAGCCGACGAUCUGUAGCUGGGCUGAGAGGAUGAUCAGCCACACGGGAAAGGGGACACGCCCAAGACUCGCAGGGGAGGCAGGAGGGGGAAAUUUGGGAAAGGGGGAGAAACCGUGACCCAGCCAUGCCGCGGGAAGAAUAAGGGCCUUGGGUUUGUAAAUUUCUUUUAACGGGAAAAAAAACCCUUUUUAAAAAAAAGGGGGGGCAGGAGGGAACGAAAAGAAAAACCCCCGGCAAACUACGUG
rnacentral:rRNA from 1 species